rnacentral:rRNA from 1 species
AGGGAAAGCUGGAGGCAGGCCUAACACAUGCAAGUCGAGCGGAUGAAGGGAGCUUGCUCCUGGAUUCAGCGGCGGACGGGUGAGUAAUGCCUAGGAAUCUGCCUGGUAGUGGGGGAUAACGUCCGGAAACGGGCGCUAAUACCGCAUACGUCCUGAGGGAGAAAGUGGGGGAUCUUCGGACCUCACGCUAUCAGAUGAGCCUAGGUCGGAUUAGCUAGUUGGUGGGGUAAAGGCCUACCAAGGCGACGAUCCGUAACUGGUCUGAGAGGAUGAUCAGUCACACUGGAACUGAGACACGGUCCAGACUCCUACGGGAGGCAGCAGUGGGGAAUAUUGGACAAUGGGCGAAAGCCUGAUCCAGCCAUGCCGCGUGUGUGAAGAAGGUCCUCGGAUUGUAAAGCACUUUAAGUUGGGAGGAAGGGCAGUAAGUUAAUACCUUGCUGUUUUGACGUUACCAACAGAAUAAGCACCGGCUAACUUCGUG